UGUCAUGGUAGCUGUGCGUGGGAGACCCUCGGGUCUGCCGGUUUAUCUGUUGGCCGGUUCGCCAACCUGCGCACAGCUGCCACCUUA
rnacentral:antisense_RNA from 1 species